UGGCAAGCAUGCCAAGAAAUGGUCAAGAUUGGCCUCUGGUGAGUGAUAUGGUUGCCAAAAACCAAAGAUUACUAGUCUUCACUUCUAUCAAGUCUAAGGAACAAAGUGAAGGCAUUGCUUAUCAGUGGAAUUUCAUGGUUGAAAAUCAGUAUGGAGAUGGUGGUAGGAAAGCAGGAAGCUGUCCAAACAGGGCAGAAUCAUCUCCUCUUAACGAUAAAAGCAAAUCGUUGGUGUUGGUAAACUACUUUCGAUCCGUUCCAAUUAAACCAAUCACAUGUGAAGAUAACUCAGGAGAACUAAUUAACAUGAUACACACUUGUUAUGGUGCUGCUGGUAACCGGUGGGCUAAUUUUGUUGCUGUUGAUUAUUACAAGAGGAGUGAGGGAGGAGGAUCAUUUCAGGCUGUAGACACUCUCAAUGGAAAGCUGUUGUGUGGAUGUGAUGAUGUUCAUACCUGUGUGCCUGGAUCAAC
rnacentral:sRNA from 1 species